CUACGGGGUGCUGCAGUGGGGAAUAUUGCGCAAUGGGCGAAAGCCUGACGCAGCAACGCCGCGUGAGUGAUGAAGGCUCUUGGGUCGUAAAGCUCUGUCAGAGGGGAAGAAAUGGUUAGUAAGGAAAUGUGCUAAUCUUGACGGUACCCUCAAAGGAAGCACCGGCUAACUCCGUGCCAGCAGCCGCGGUAAUACGGGGGGUGCGAGCGUUGUUCGGAAUCACUGGGCGUAAAGCGUGUGUAGGCGGAUUGGUAAGUCAGAUGUGAAAUCCCGGGGCUUAACCCCGGAACUGCAUUUGAAACUGCCUCUCUAGAGUGCGGAAGAGGGAAGGGGAAUGCCCGGUGUAGAGGUGAAAUUCGUAGAUAUCGGGAGGAAUACCGGUGGCGAAGGCGCCUUCCUGGGCCGACACUGACGCUGAGACACGAAAGCGUGGGGAGCAAACAGGAUUAGAUACCCGCGUAGUC
rnacentral:rRNA from 1 species